UACGGAGGAUGCAAGCGUUGUCCGGAAUCAUUGGGCGUAAAGGGUCCUGAGGUGGUUUGCUCAGUCCACUGUGAAAGUUCAGGGCUUACCCUUGAAAAUGCGGUGGAAACUAGUAGGCUAGAGUACGGUGGGGGCAGAGGGAAUUCCCGAUGUAGCGGUGAAAUGCAUAGAUAUCGGGAAGAACACCGAUGGCGAAGGCACUCUGCUGGGCCGACACUGACACUGAAAGACGAAAGCCAGGGGAGCGAACAGG
rnacentral:rRNA from 1 species